rnacentral:rRNA from 1 species
UACGGAGGAUCCGAGCGUUAUCCGGAUUUAUUGGGUUUAAAGGGUGCGUAGGCGGCCUAUUAAGUCAGGGGUGAAAGACGGUAGCUUAACUAUCGCAGUGCCUUUGAUACUGAUAGGCUUGAAUGUACUUGAGGUAGGCGGAAUGUGACAAGUAGCGGUGAAAUGCAUAGAUAUGUCACAGAACACCAGUUGCGAAGGCAGCUUACUAAAGUAUGAUUGACGCUGAGGCACGAAAGCGUGGGGAUCAAACAGG